rnacentral:tRNA from 1 species
AGCAGCGUAGCUCAGUGGAAAGAGCCUGGUCUUGGGAGUCAUAGGUCAUGGGUUCAAAUCCUGACUCUACCA